rnacentral:rRNA from 1 species
UCGGGGGAAAGGCUUGCUGCUGCUGGAGGAGCCCGCGUCGGAUUAGGUAGUUGGUGGGGUAAUGGCCUACCAAGCCUGUGAUCCGUAGCUGGUCUGAGAGGAUGAUCAGCCACACUGGGACUGAGACACGGCCCAGACUCCUACGGGAGGCAGCAGUGGGGAAUAUUGGACAAUGGGCGCAAGCCUGAUCCAGCAAUGCCGCGUGAGUGAUGAAGGCCUUCGGGUUGUAAAGCUCUUUCGCCUACGACGAUGAUGACGGUAGUAGGAGAAGAAGCCCCGGCUAACUUCGUGCCAGCAGCCGCGGUAAUACGAAGGGGGCUAGCGUUGUUCGGAAUGACUGGGCGUAAAGGGCGCGUAGGCGGCGCAUCAAGUCGGGCGUGAAAGCCCCGGGCUCAACCUG